rnacentral:rRNA from 1 species
CAUCAGAUGUGCCCAGAUGGGAUUAGCUAGUAGGUGGGGUAACGGCUCACCUAGGCGACGAUCCCUAGCUGGUCUGAGAGGAUGACCAGCCACACUGGAACUGAGACACGGUCCAGACUCCUACGGGAGGCAGCAGUGGGGAAUAUUGCACAAUGGGCGCAAGCCUGAUGCAGCCAUGCCGCGUGUGUGAAGAAGGCCUUCGGGUUGUAAAGCACUUUCAGCGGGGAGGAAGGCGGUGAGG